GAUGAACGCUAGCGAUAGGCUUAACACAUGCAAGUCGAGGGGCAGCAUGGUCUUAGCUUGCUAAGACUGAUGGCGACCGGCGCACGGGUGCGUAACGCGUAUGCAACUUGCCUCACAGAGGGGGAUAACCCGUCGAAAGACGGACUAAUACCGCGUACACUUGGGAUAGGGCAUCCUGACCCAAGGAAAUGAAAUUCGCUGUGAGAUAGGCAUGCGUCCCAUUAGCUAGUUGGUGAGGUAACGGCUCACCAAGGCGACGAUGGGUAGGGGAACUGAGAGGUGGAACCCCCACACUGGUACUGAGACACGGACCAGACUCCUACGGGAGGCAGCAGUGAGGAAUAUUGGUCAAUGGGCGAGAGCCUGGACCAGCCAAGUCGCGUGAAGGAUGACUGUCUUAUGGAUUGUAAACUUCUUUUAUACGGGAAUAACAAGAGCCACGUGUGGCUCCCUGCAUGUACCGUAUGAAUAAGCAUCGGCUAACUCCGUG
rnacentral:rRNA from 1 species